rnacentral:rRNA from 1 species
UACGGGGGGGGCAAGCGUUGUUCGGAAUUACUGGGCGUAAAGGGCUCGUAGGCGGCCAACUAAGUCAGACGUGAAAUCCCUCGGCUUAACCGGGGAACUGCGUCUGAUACUGGAUGGCUUGAGUUCGGGAGAGGGAUGCGGAAUUCCAGGUGUAGCGGUGAAAUGCGUAGAUAUCUGGAGGAACACCGGUGGCGAAGGCGGCAUCCUGGACCGAGACUGACGCUGAGGAGCGAAAGCCAGGGGAGCAAACGGG